GACGAACCGUACGAACGUUAUUCGGAAUCACUGGGCUUAAAGGGUGCGUAGGCUGCGCAGAAAGUUGGGUGUGAAAUCCCUCGGCUUAACCGAGGAACUGCGCCCAAAACUGCUGUGCUCGAGGGAGACAGAGGUGAGCGGAACUUAGGGUGGAGCGGUGAAAUGCGUUGAUAUCCUAAGGAACACCGGUGGCGAAAGCGGCUCACUGGGUCUCUUCUGACGCUGAGGCACGAAAGCUAGGGGAGCGAACGGG
rnacentral:rRNA from 1 species